AAGUAAGAAAGAUGAUGAAGAAGGAAGAAGAUGAAGAUGAGAAGAAAAAGUAAGAAAUUGAAAGAAAAGAAUGGGAAGUAGUUGAUUUUUACAGAAAACAAGAAAUCCGACCUAAAAUGCACCCUGGAGCUAUCUACUUCGGCUAACAGAGGGUUUAGAUAACCCUAAAACCUUCCAAAAUGAUAAAUAUUACUUUUGGAGGUUGAAGGUU
rnacentral:lncRNA from 1 species